rnacentral:misc_RNA from 1 species
UAAAUAGGCGUUUUUGCCUAAACCCUUCGCUUCAAAGCUUAAACUCCGGUACGACCGAAACUGCAUCGACGGAAGCCCAAUCCGGGAAAAAAAAUUCAGAGCAAGCAAGCAAGAACAAUCAGAUAUUGAUAGAGAGAAUGAGGGAAAUUUGUUUGAUUCGACGAAUUUUUGAUCGCCGUGGUGGAAUCAAUAUCUGUUCAAUUCGUUCAUUCUCACGUCUCUAUGAAUCCCCAAUUUCAACACCCAUCAUUGUCUCAUCACCACCCAAUUCUUCCAUUCCUUUGAAAUCAUCGUUCUGCGAUGUUUCCUCCAUUCCUGCCACUACAAGACUUCACUUAUCAAACCCUUCUCUGCAAUUUCAAAGAACUCUUUGCUCGUCCCCAGGUUCAUCCAAUAUUAUACUUAUCAAGUCAGAAGAAGAGUUCAAUGGCUCAAUGAAAAAUAUUCAAGAGAAGUCUCUUCCAGCAAUAUUCUAUUUCACUGCUGCAUGGUGUGGACCCUGCAAGUUUAUAUCUCCUAUACUUGCAGAGCUAAGUGAGAAAUACCCUCAUGUUACAACUUAUAAGAUUGACAUUGACCAGGAUGGCCUUGGAAGCUUAUUGAGUAGAUUAUAUAUUACUGCUGUGCCAACUCUUCAUUUCUUUGAAAAUGGCAAAAACGCGGCUGAAAUUGUUGGUGCAGAUGUUGGACGCUUGAAGGACACAAUGGAAGAACUCUAUGGGAAGGACUAAGUGAAGAUUAUUUUGAAGGAAGAUUAAUGGCAUCAAGAGUUUGUAAUCCUCUUAAAGUGAUGGAAUGACAGUGGGUUAGCUUUUCAGUUUCUUUGGAAAUGUUAGUUUAUUUUGUAAGUCGAAAAGAUUUUUGUCUAAUACGCAUCAGUGGAUUUUCCGCAAAUGGGGAUUUGUUUAGUUGUAGUCUUCAUUUCAAAGCCAUCAAGAAAUGUGCAGGGAAAGCAAACGAAGGCAGAAAGUAUUAGAAAUUUCAAUUCUCAUAUGGAGAAGAUAAAAUAGGAGCUGUUUAUGAGACAAAAAUACCUGAAUGAGACAUCCCAAGGUGUAUCAGUGCCAACUAUACUUCUAUUUUGUUAAUACCGUUCCGCUUGUGACAACAUUUUAUCAGGAUGUUCCAAGUGUUCGUCUAGACCCGUCGUUUUUGUAAAAUGGAAAAUGUUUUUCAUGGAAAUUGUUUAAGAAAAUGUUUUCCAUGAAAUUUCUAUGAAAAUAUUUUUCA